GACGAACGCUGGCGGCGUGCUUAACACAUGCAAGUCGAGCGGAGGGGCGAACGGGUGAGUAACGCGUGAGUAACUGCCCCCCUCCCUGGGAUACCAGUUGGAAACGGCUGCUAAUACCGGAUAGUGGGGGUUGACUGGGGUUCUAUCGGCUUGGUGGUGGGGUAGUGGCCUACCAAGGCGAAGACUGGUAGCCGGCCUGAGAGGGGGACCGGCCACAUUGGGCUGAGAGACGGCCCAAACUGCUACGGGGGGCAGCAGUGGGGAAUAUGGCACAAUGGGGGAAACCCUGAUGCAGAAACGCCGCGUGCGGGAUGACUGGCUUCGUGUUGUAAACCGCUUUCAGCCAUGACGCGGUAGUUGCAGAAGAAGCACCGGCUAACUACGUGCCAGCAGCCGCGGUAAUUC
rnacentral:rRNA from 1 species